UACGGAGGGUGCAAGCGUUGUCCGGAAUCACUGGGCGUAAAGGGCGCGUAGGCGGCUCAUGAAGGCUGUGGUGAAAGUCCGGGGCUCAACCUCGGAUCGGCCGUGGCGACUCGUGGGCUGGAGCACUGUAGAGGCGGGUGGAAUUCCGGGUGUAGCGGUGAAAUUCGUAGAUAUUGGGAAGAACACCGGUGGCGAAGGCGGCUCACUGGCUCGUAACUGACGCUCAUGCACGACAGCGUGGGGAUCAAACAGG
rnacentral:rRNA from 1 species